rnacentral:rRNA from 1 species
GACGAAGGGCGCAAGCGUUGUCCGGAAUUAUUGGGCGUAAAGAGCUCGUAGGCGGUCUGUUGCGUCCGCUGUGAAAACUCGGGGCUUAACCCCGAGCCUGCAGUGGAUACGGGCAGACUAGAGGUAGGUAGGGGAGAAUGGAAUUCCUGGUGUAGCGGUGAAAUGCGCAGAUAUCAGGAGGAACACCGGUGGCGAAGGCGGGUCUCUGGGCCGAUACUGACGCUGAGGAGCGAAAGCGUGGGGAGCGAACAGG